rnacentral:tRNA from 1 species
GGGGAUUUAGCUCAGUGGUCUCGAGCGCUUGCCUAGCAAGCAUAAGGCCCUGGGUUCGGUCCCCAGCUCCG